rnacentral:rRNA from 1 species
GGCGGCGUGCCUAACACAUGCAAGUCGAACGGAAUCAGGGGGCUUGCUCCUUGAUUUAGUGGCGCACGGGUGAGUAAUGCGUAGAUAAUCUACCUGAGGAUCCUGGAUAACAUUUCGAAAGGGGUGCUAAUACGGGAUAAGCCCACGGAGUCUUCGGACUCUGCGGGAAAAGGGGGGGACCUUCGGGCCUUCUGUCCUCAGAUGAGUCUACGUACCAUUAGCUAGUUGGUGGGGUAAAGGCCUACCAAGGCUACGAUGGUUAGCUGGUCUGAGAGGAUGAUCAGCCACACUGGAACUGAGACACGGUCCANACUCCUACGGGAGGCAGCAGUGGGGAAUUUUGCGCAAUGGGGGAAACCCUGACGCAGCAACGCCGCGUGAGUGAUGAAGGCCUUCGGGUCGUAAAGCUCUGUCAGUGGGAAAGAAAUGCACGAGGGUCAAUACCCCUUGUGCUUGACGGUACCCACAAAGGAAGCACCGGCUAACUCCGUGCCAGCAGCCGCGGUAAUACGGA